rnacentral:rRNA from 1 species
AACGAACGCUGGCGGCGUGCCUAACACAUGCAAGUCGAACGAGAAAGGGGCUUCGGCUCCGAGUAAAGUGGCGCACGGGUGAGUAACACGUGGGUAACCUGCCUCUAAGAUUGGGAUAACUCGUCGAAAGAUGAGCUAAUACCGAAUAAGACCACAGUUUCUGCGGGGACAGGGGUCAAAGGUAGCCUCUGCUUGCAAGCUAUCACUUAGAGAUGGGCCUGCGCACCAUUAGCUAGUUGGUAGGGUAACGGCCUACCAAGGCAAAGAUGGUUAGCUGGUCUGAGAGGAUGAUCAGCCACACUGGAACUGAGACACGGUCCAGACUCCUACGGGAGGCAGCAGUGGGGAAUAUUGCGCAAUGGGCGAAAGCCUGACGCAGCAACGCCGCGUGAGUGAUGAAGGCCUUCGGGUCGUAAAGCUCUGUCGGAAGGAACGAAUGCUCCUGAGGUUAAUAGCCUCAGGAGGUGACGGUACCUUCAAAGGAAGCACCGGCUAACUCUGUGUCAGCAGCCGCAGUAAUAC